ensembl:lncRNA
UCAGUGUCAGGUUGUCUGUAGUCUUUUGCGCCAUGGGUCCAUGUUCCACGUAUCCACGUAUCUACAUAUCCAUGCAUCCAUGCAUCCAUGCAUCCAUGCAUCCAUGCAUCCAUGCAUCCAUGCAUCCAUGCCAAGUUUCAUGCUUUGGGUUUUUAAUGUUUGUCUUUAGUUUCCCAGUUUAGGUUACUGUUUAUUCUCGUCUUUGUUUAUCUUAUGCAUUACUUUGUAUUUCUUCAUCAGCCACAUUAAACGGCUCGCUUUUUGUUAAUACUCAAGUUUUGGUUCCACGUUCCUUUGUGCCUGCAUUUUGGGUCCACUCUUCACAAAUUCACACAGUCUGCUUCGGCACACUGUGACAGUGGGUGUUGGCUUUAUCAGUUGGGAAAACUGUAAAAGCUAUGACUUUAUAGGAAAAAGUCCAAAAUCGUUGCCCUCUGUCACAUUUUUCAAAGCUGUCUCGAGGGCCGGAUUGGAGUCUUUGGUGGGGAUGAUUCUGGCCGCCAGGCCUCAUGUUCGACCCCCUGGGUGAGAUAACUUAAGAUUUUUUAGCAAAUUUUAACCUUCUGAGCCUCUAGGCUGCUGAUGUAUAACUAGUUAAUAGCCAAGGACUGAUGUACUCUGUCUUAGUUUGUUAAAGUUUUCCUGUUCUGGUCUAAUUGUCCUUCAGUGGUUGUUUACAGCUCCCAAUCCAGUAUAAAGACUCAGAGAGGAGGACAGACAGCAAAAAGAAGCAGGCAGCGAUGGACAUGUGGUCAGUGUUAGCACCACAGUGUAAAGCCAAGGUAGCUUCUGUUUGACCACAUUCACCCUUAAAUGUUUCACAUGACUGGACAGUGUGUUAUACUGUUAUCAAAUGUGUGGCCACAGCCUACUAAUGUAAUAAUAACUGAAAUUACUGUUGUGCUAUUUGAAUACGAUGUGUCUGUGUGUGAAUGUCAGAACACAGAAUUUUAACAUCCAUUUCUUACAUGUUUUAUGUAGCACGUUUAAAAAUGUCAGUGGACACUCAUUAGUGAGAAUUUUAGCAUUUAACAGGACUCACUGAACAUGGCUUGAACAUGACGGCUGGCACUACACGGACUGGUGUGCGCGAUGACGUGUGGCUAUCCUGAGUCUGAGCGACUCAGCACCUUCACUGCAGGCACAUGUGUGUACUAAUGUGUAUAAUGCUGUGGUAACUUAUGAGCAGGAUAUUGCAAAUCCCUGUAAAAUCCAGGAUAACAGAGACUCUAAAUGGGAUUCAAAUCUGGGCUUUGACUAGACUCUUUCAUAACCAUUUCUUCUUUUUGAGCCAUUCCUCAGUGGAUUUGCUGUGCUUAGGACCAUUAUCCUAUUAAAAAGGUCCACUUCCGGUCCCAUACAAGCUUUUCUGUUGAAGAAAUUGGUCAUUAUUUAUGAAUGAGCCUCCAAAU